rnacentral:rRNA from 1 species
AUUGAACGCUGGCGGCAGGCCUAACACAUGCAAGUCGAGCGGAUGAGGAGAGCUUGCUCUCUGAUUUAGCGGCGGACGGGUGAGUAAUGCCUAGGAAUCUGCCUGGUAGUGGGGGAUAACGUCCGGAAACGGGCGCUAAUACCGCAUACGUCCUACGGGAGAAAGCAGGGGACCUUCGGGCCUUUCGCUAUCAGAUGAGCCUAGGUCGGAUUAGCUAGUUGGUGAGGUAAUGGCUCACCAAGGCUACGAUCCGUAACUGGUCUGAGAGGAUGAUCAGUCACACUGGAACUGAGACACGGUCCAGACUACUACGGGAGGCAGCAGUGGGGAAUAUUGGACAAUGGGCGAAAGCCUGAUCCAGCCAUGCCGCGUGUGUGAAGAAGGUCUUCGGAUUGUAAAGCCCUUUAAGUUGGGAGGAAGGGCAGUAAGUUAAUACCUUGCUGUUUUGACGUUACCGACAGAAUAAGCACCGGCUAACUUCGUGCCAGCCGCCGCUGUAACAC